rnacentral:rRNA from 1 species
AGUGUAGGCGGCUUCGUAAGUCGGAUGUGAAAGCCCCGGGCUUAACCUGGGAAUGGCAUUCGAUACUGCGCGGCUAGAGUCUGAUAGAGGGAAGUGGAAUUCCAGGUGUAGCGGUGAAAUGCGUAGAGAUCUGGAGGAACACCAGUGGCGAAGGCGGCUUCCUGGAUCAAGACUGACGCUGAGGCUCGAAAGCGUGGGAGCAAACA